rnacentral:rRNA from 1 species
GAUGAACGCUAGCGGCAGGCCUAACACAUGCAAGUCGAGGGAGAAGCCCUUUCGGGGGCAGAAACCGGCGCACGGGUGCGUAACGCGUAUGCAACCUACCUUUCACAGGGGGAUAGCCCGAAGAAAUUUGGAUUAAUACCCCAUAAUAUUAUUGGAUGGCAUCAUUUGAUAAUUAAAACUGCGGUGGUGAAAGAUGGGCAUGCGUCCUAUUAGCUAGUUGGAGUGGUAACGGCACCCCAAGGCUACGAUAGGUAGGGGUCCUGAGAGGGAGAUCCCCCACACUGGUACUGAGACAGAGACCAGACUCCUACGGGAGGCAGCAGUGAGGAAUAUUGGUCAAUGGUCGGAAGACUGAACCAGCCAUGCCGCGUGCAGGAAGAAUGCCUUAUGGGUUGUAAACUGCUUUUAGAUGGGAAGAAUAAGGCGUACGUGUACGUUGAUGACGGUACCAUAUGAAUAAGCAUCGGCUAACUCCGUG